CACGGGGGUUGCUAGCGUUGUCCGGAAUUACUAGGCGUAAAGGGCAUGUAGGCGGUUUUGUAAGCCUGACGUGAAAGGCUAUGGCUUAACCAUGGCACUGCGUUGGGAACUGCGAGACUUGAAUCACGGAGGGGGAGCUGGAAUUCCAGGUGUAGGGGUGAAAUCUGUAGAUAUCUGGAAGAACACCAGUGGCGAAGGCGAGCUCCUGGCCGAUGAUUGACGCUGAGGUGCGAAAGUGUGGGGAUCAAACAGGAUUAGAGACCCUGGUAGUCCACACUGUCAACGAUGUGCACUAGGUGCUGGGGCGGACGCUUCAGUGCCGGAGCUAACGCGGUAAGUGCACCGCCUGGGGAGUAUGCUCGCAAGGGUGAA
rnacentral:rRNA from 1 species